UUAAAUGUUUUCUAGGGUUCCGCAACUCUACCAUGUUGGUCUGGUCCGAGAGAAAACUCAUAGUAAACUACUAUGUCACGGAGGGAUAAAAGCCCGGGAGAA
rnacentral:sRNA from 2 species